rnacentral:lncRNA from 1 species
CUGGUGGGUAGUAAUACAUGGGCUGAGGUGGAUAGCCAUAACCGCCAUACUCCGAUUUCUUCACAUCCACCGUAGCACCACCUUCUCCGCCUCCGGCUGGGGAAACUUCUUUCUUCUUGUCACCACCACCGUCUUUCUUUUCCCCCACAUCUUUGCUCUCUUUCUUUUCACCACCAUCCUUCUUUUCUCCGACAUCUUUGCUCUCUUUCUUUUCACCACCACCAGCUGGAGCUGGAGUUGGAGCCGUCGCCGCUGCCGCGGUGGUUCCCUCUUCUUUUUUCGGUGGAACAACUUCGACGUUGCGUUUAAGCUUCUCGUUGAGAUAAGGAGUGAGUUGU